ACACUGAUCUCCAUAGGUAUCCCAGAGGUGUUUAUCUUACAGUUCAAUUAAUGCUCCUGGAAUCUCACUUAUAGAAUUUAGCUAUCCAAACUAUUUCUUAAAACAAUCCAGAAAUAAUCUUUAGUGCAGCUUCUGAACUAAGCAACACUCUAGGACAAUACAGUGCUCUUCAAAUAUUUUAUUGUGUUUUACAAUAAUAGUAAUAAUUAGUGGUAACAUUGUUAAUAGCUGUCACAUUUUAACAAUGUGAACUGUCACAUUUUAAACAAUGCAUAUCUGAACUGAUGAGAUUUUUGAGUUUUGAAACAACUGAAAUU
rnacentral:lncRNA from 1 species